UUUAUUUGCUAGGGGUGCAUUUUUGCUGAGAAAUACCCUUUGUACCUGAUUCAGGUAAUACUGACGUAGGGAAGCAAAGUUUUUUUGCA
rnacentral:ncRNA from 2 species